CCUCGGCUUCCCUCUGCUUCUGUGAGCGAACAAUGGGGGGUGUUUGCCCCGGACACGCUUCAGAGGUAGUCAAAACACUUGAGAACGUCCCUUUGAGGUUUGCUGAGCGGAGAGGUUCGAUCUUGGGGGGCAGAUAAGGAGCUUAUAAGGACCCCCCCCGAUGCUCCUUCGACUGGGUUGUGUGGCUGUAUGUUGUGUCUCCACGAAGGACACCCGUAUCCUUUUUUUUCCUUUUUAGAUUUGUUACUUUGGGUUCAAACAACGAGUUGCGGUCCGGAAGUCGGCGCCUGUCCGUCGUUAUUUCUGUCAUCGGCGUCUCUUUGCCAAACGCCGCUUGUUUGAUCAGCUCUUCCUUCCCAUCGGGCCUCCGGCUUUCCAGCUGUCGGGGAGGAAGACCAGCGGAGUUUAUUUUGACGUAGAUGUGAUUCAUCGAGACGAGGUCCGAAAUCCUCGACCUGAACCACACGCAGAAGCUCUGCAGAGGGGAGCGGCUUCAUGCCGCUGCUUUCCAACAGAAACCUUCUUCCCUUUCAAGCACCAGAUCUGAAAUGCUUGUUUUAGUUGUGUUUGGGUAAAACGUAUUGUGCACGUUGGAUUCACUCCUUAGCGAUGCUGCCCAAAAGAACAAAAGGCCGGAUUAACUGCUUCUGUUUUCAGAGCGCGGUUCAGGUGGUUCUCCUCCAGGCUGUUGUGCUUGGCCAGCGGCACCGGUCGGGUCUGAGACUCCAGGAAGCCGCUCCCUGCCGUCCAGUCUCUGCUUGUGUGCUGCUUCCUCUGCAAACAUGCCUGUUGAUGUGAGAAGUCACAGGAGGUCUGACGGAAGAGACCAACAAACACACACACACGGCAUGUUUCGCCUGGAUGGAUCACGCCAGCGGUCCGAUUGGAGGUUUCGGUCUCGUGGCUCCUCUUCUGAACACAGAACCCAGUGUUCGUCUUGUGUUUCCCUCCGCGUGGUCCCACCUCUCCUGCAGCCCUCUCUCAACCUUUAACCCCCACCCAGGCACAGCUCGAUUGUGCUGAUGUCAUGAUAUCCGUGCACCGCUUUAACUACGUCAGCCUCUGACUCAGACGACGACAGCUGUGCGCGUGACUGAACAUCUGCAUCGGGCGUCGCGUGUCUCACGGAAGGACUUUGACACUCGUACCUGUUAAUUAACGCGCAAAGACGAGACGUUGCACACGCAGAGCAGGUGAUGCCGUCAGCCACACUUUGUCACCAGGGCGAUCACCUCCGGAUGGCGGAGGAAUCCCAUCCUGAAUCACAAAGUUAUGCUAAGCUAAUGCUGCUCUCAAGAGCCAGGUUGGAAUUUAUUUAAUAGCCACAUGCAAAUUGAGGUAAUAGUCGUAUUUACGGCUAAAAAGUGCUCUUCAAAGAACAAACUUUGAGAAGUUUGAAUCCUGAUAUUUUGCUAAAAGUCUGUUGCAUAAAGCGGCCGCGGCACCAUGACGCCUUUCUGCGUGUAGAGAGUCUGUUCAUCUCUGCAGAAGCACGACGCUCUGACCUGCAUCGGUUCCAUUUCCCACACUGGCUGGAAGUAAAAGGUCGUGACCUGUGGUAUUUUUACUCGCGGCCCCUCACCGUUAUCGUGGGGCCCUAUUUCAGGCUCCUUAUAAAUCCUGUUGAUCCGACACACCUUCAGGAGCACAAAUCCACCGCCCCGCUCCCCGUGUCCGCAGUCACAUUAUCUGUUCAUUGUUUUUGGAUUCAACACUUUCAUCAAACGCUGAUUGUUUCCAAACUAAAAAACGUUUUUUCUUUUAUUAGGGAAGCCAAAUUAAGAGUAAUUGUUUUUAUUAUUCAUUACAUUGUUUUUCUUUUUAAUUAGUCUACAUGAUUGUUUAAUAGUCAAUUGAUAAUUUUCUUAUUUAGUAGCAAUGUUUUGGUUUAAAUGUUUUGUAUUCAUUUGUACAUUGGAAUUAUUUUAAUAGCUUUCAAAAUCCUUUCCAAUUUAGAUCAACAAAUAAAGAUUAUUAUUGAUGGACACAUUUGGGCAAAAACCGAAAACUUCUCAACAUUUUGACUUGGUAACAGAAAAGAAAAUACGCGCAGUAGCAAACUGAUCUGAUUUCCUUUUUGUUUGUUCGUUAAAUUAUAAUAUUCACCUCAGUUGUUAAAGCUAAAAUAUAGUGUGUAUAUAUAUAUAUAUAUAUAUAUAUAUAUAUUAUAUAUAUACUAACCAUCUACUUCUUAGAUAUCCAUCAAGUCAUAUUGUCUCUAUUAUUUAAAAAACAUCUGCAUUAGUUGUUUGCUCUGUAAACACGCGUUUGUCCUCCAGAUGGGAUCUACUGUCCUCGUCAUCGGACCAACCGGCUGCCGUGAGUUUGUUUUCCUCUGAAUCCCACAGGCGUGUUUGUUGUGUUUGUCCACCAUAAAGUGACGUCUGUCUGCCGAGUGGAAGACGACACCUUAUCAAGCUGUAGGGAAAUUACCCCCCCCCCAUAAAACAGUUGUUUUAUUUCAGAUGUUAGAGAACAACUGGACUGUUUCUGAGGUGGAGGUGAUGUCUUCAUGUAGUUAGAAUGCUUUAAAGUGCACAGACACGCCAUUUCUGUCAGGUUUUAAUUGUAUGUGGAUUAUUUUUCAUGCCCCGUUGUUUGUUUAGUCAAAUGUGUCGUUGCCUUUAAUCCUAUUCCUUUGCAUGCUCUUCGUGGGGUGUUGGCAGACUUUCAGUGCGGCUGCCUCUCAAAGGCUCAUUUUGACUUCUCGGCCUGAUGUCACAUCUUCUUCUUUGGUGUUUAAUGAUACUGUUACAAAUCCACAGGCACAUCAACUUUGAAUUUGGCUACGACUAAAAUAAAAACACUAUAGUCCCUUAAAAACGUG
ensembl:lncRNA